rnacentral:rRNA from 1 species
GUCGAGCGGAAACGAGAAGUAGCUUGCUACUUCGGCGUCGAGCGGCGGACGGGUGAGUAAUGCCUAGGAAGUUGCCCAGUAGAGGGGGAUAACCAUUGGAAACGAUGGCUAAUACCGCAUAUUCUCUUUGGAGCAAAGCAGGGGACCUUCGGGCCUUGCGCUAUUGGAUACGCCUAGGUGGGAUUAGCUAGUUGGUGAGGUAAUGGCUCACCAAGGCAACGAUCCCUAGCUGGUCUGAGAGGAUGAUCAGCCACACUGGAACUGAGACACGGUCCAGACUCCUACGGGAGGCAGCAGUGGGGAAUAUUGCACAAUGGGCGAAAGCCUGAUGCAGCCAUGCCGCGUGUAUGAAGAAGGCCUUCGGGUUGUAAAGUACUUUCAGUCGUGAGGAAGGGGGUAAGCUUAAUACGCUUAUCUCUUGACGUUAGCGACAGAAGAAGCACCGGCUAACUCCGUGCCAGCAGCCGCGGUAAUACGGAGGGUGCGAGCGUUAAUCGGAAUUACUGGGCGUAAAGCGCAUGCAGGUGGUUCAAUAAGUCAGAUGUGAAAGCCCGGGGCUCAACCUCGGAACUGCAUUUGAAACUGUUGGACUAGAGUACUGUAG